AUACGUAGGGUGCAAGCGUUAAUCGGAAUUACUGGGCGUAAAGCGUGCGCAGGCGGUUUUGGAAGACAGUGGUGAAAUCCCCGGGCUCAACCUGGGAACUGCCAUUGUGACUGCAAGGCUGGAGUGCGGCAGAGGGGGAUGGAAUUCCGCGUGUAGCAGUGAAAUGCGUAGAUAUGAGGAGGAACACCGAUGGCGAAGGCAAUCCCCUGGGCCUGCACUGACGCUCAUGCACGAAAGCGUGGGGAGCAAACAGGAUUAGAUACCCUGGUAGUCCACGCCCUAAACGAUGUCAACUGGUUGUUGGGGAUUUAUUUUCUCAGUAACGAAGCUAACGCGUGAAGUUGACCGCCUGGGGAGUACGGCCGCAAGGUUAAAACUCAAAUGAAUUGACGGGG
rnacentral:rRNA from 1 species